UGGGGAAUAUUGCACAAUGGGCGCAAGCCUGAUGCAGCCAUGCCGCGUGUGUGAAGAAGGCCUUCGGGUUGUAAAGCACUUUCAGCGGGGAGGAAGGCGGUGAGGUUAAUAACCUCACCGAUUGACGUUACCCGCAGAAGAAGCACCGGCUAACUCCGUGCCAGCAGCCGCGGUAAUACGGAGGGUGCAAGCGUUAAUCGGAAUUACUGGGCGUAAAGCGCACGCAGGCGGUUGAUUGAGUCAGAUGUGAAAUCCCCGGGCUUAACACGGGAAUUGGAUCUGAUACUGGUCAGCUAGAGUCUUGUAGAGGGGGGUAGAAUUCCAUGUGUAGCGGUGAAAUGCGUAGAGAUGUGGAGGAAUACCGGUGGCGAAGGCGGCCCCCUGGACAAAGACUGACGCUCAGGUGCGAAAGCGUGGGGAGCAAACAGG
rnacentral:rRNA from 1 species